UAAUAACGUGCUUGAUAAAAAGAUCGUCUUGAUAGGGCGAAUAAUGAGAGUCGGCCUCUCCGUUAUUAA
rnacentral:tRNA from 1 species